ensembl:lncRNA
AAUGAGUCAGAUUGCUGCCAGUCUGAGGACACAUACUGUAGACCAUGUGUCUGCCUGUGUUGAUGGACAUCUCAACUGACCUAUCUGUCCCAUGCAGACUGGGAUACAUUUUAAUUCUGGGAUGAUGGCAGGGGAUGUUCAGCAAUCUGGUCAGACGUAUGAUUAUGUAGGCAAGCUUGCAUGGCACCAGGGAGGGCACCGGUCCACCAUCACGCAGGAGGGCAAGGCCUUAGAGCCGGACCAAAUCCAACCAAAACAGAGCACCAAGUCAGGGUGGUUUAGUAGCUGGUUCAAACCCAAACCCAAAGAGGAACAAAGUGUUGCGUCUCUGGAUGACGACUCAGCAGAACCAGUUCCCACUAUGGAGGCUCCUCCCACCCUAUGUUCUUUCCCUCCCCCACCUACUAUCAACACCCUUGCAGCUAAUUGUCCCACACAGCCUACAUCUGCUGGGAUCAACCCCUUUUCUCGAAAAGCAGGAUUUGUUAUGCCAUAAACAUGGAAUAACCCUGAAGCAAAAGAGAAGCACAACCACAUCAACAGAAGGAUAACAUGCUGGCCCUUUAAAUCAGCCUAAACUGGGACUGUGUCAGUGUAUUAACACUGAUCAGGCUCACAAUAUCCGCCUGACCACAACCCAGAUAUCUAUUUUUGGAAGUUCUUUAAUGGGGCUAGUACUUUGACAUCAUGUGUUGCGUUGCUUCACAUUGGCUCGUAGGCUGCAUGUGCAGGCAGAGGGAGUUAGUCCAGGCUUUUAAGGGCUUGGCUCAGUGUUUUCUGAGGGAACUAAACAGCUGAGUUCUGGUUCCUCUGAGAUGAUGGGCGGAAAAUUGCCGGGUUGGAAUGCUGUAAGUUAGCAGAAGCUGUGAAUGUGGUCAGCUUAAUCUCACAAAAAAGUUUGGAGCAAGUCUAAUUUCUCUUUAGUGAGACUUUCUAGCUAUACAACCGUGAUUCAUUUUCAAACAGACCUAUCUUUGUCUAGUAUUUUGAUUUGAGAUGUACAUUUUAAAGUUAAUUUUAAAUACCAAGGUCCAAGACAAUUUAUGUCUUUCAGGAGCUCUUACUCUUAUGAGAUGUUCUGGCUCACAAAAACCAGAGCUUGUGCAAAGCUACUGGGGCUGCCAGUGAAGUUGAUGGGGGCCAGGACAUGUUGGUUGGACACUGAGACACUAUUCUCAUCUAAUAGGAGAGAAAGCUGAUAUGACAAUUUUUAAAACUCAUAGACAAAUCAUUACAAAUUCUGUACUAGCAUUUGUGACAAAACCAUUAAAAAAGAUUUAAAAACUGUUAAUUCACAUACCGUUUGCAAUUUUAAGCUAUACAAGCAAAUCAUUCUUAUGCUGGAGUAUGCCCACACCAUUCCAAGUGAAAAAAGCUGGUGAGGUUUUACAUUUAAAAUGUUUGGUAAGUAUUAAUGUAUUAUAUAUUAAUGCAUUAACACAGAACUGAACCACAAUAUCAGAAGUGUCCCAACCCCCAUCUAUUCUUGGAUGUCCUUUCAAUGGACCAGUAUUUUGAUAUGUUGGGUUGGUGCCCAUUAUUAGGCUAACCAGGCAGGCAGCAGGAGUGGGGCCAGUCGUUUAGGGGCUUGGCUCAGUGUCCUGAGGGAACAGCUGAUGUCUGGUUCCUCGAAGAUAGAAAGAAAAUUUCCUGGGUUGGACACUGCAAUGUUGCAAAAGUAGCAAGGUUGUUCUACUAAAUAAUUCAUGUAAUCACAAAAAAAGAUUCAAGAACAAUCCAGUCCCAAGUUCUUUUGGAGCUAGUCUCAUGUCCCAUUGGUAAAAUGUUAUAACCACAAACGACGACUCCUGUUCUAACCCAAUUUCAGUUUUCAGGUGGAAAUUGAAGAUUGGUAGAGGCCUACUACUCUGUAUUUGUCAAACAUUGUUUGAAUUCACAGCAGAUUUUAAGAGCAAAUAAAAAUAGCAUUCUGGUCUUGGCACAUUCUUGUCUUGGCACAUUCUGGUCUUGGCACAUCCAGUCGACCACCCCUCCCAGAUAAUGUGGGUAGGUUAGCCUAAAUUAUUAGAUUAAUGUGGAUACAUUUUUAAAUUGUUGAAUAGUAAUUCAGUGUUGUUCAACAUUAAAGCAGUAGUUAUUUCACCAAACCUAGACACACAGUAGUUUUAGUAAAGAACAUGAAGUUUAUUAUCAUGAAUGAAAACCACCCUGUGAAGUUAAAAAAUCUAUUUAAUCUGUAGCCCGAUAAACUGCAUACUUUCCCUAAUUGUAGUGGAGACACAACAUUACAUUAUUUCAAAUUUACCAGUGAUUUUAUCUUUACUGAGAGAUUUGAGCAACAGAAAUUAGGUGUAACCGCACUGUAAAACCCAUGAAUCACAGUAUUAAUCCCCCUAUAAAACUCAAAAGAUUUGUUCAGUGUAGUUAAUGGCUAGCUUGCAAAGUACAAUGUAAAGAAUAAUAGCUACUAUCUGAUGGCACUAACACUAACAUUGUAAAAAACAAGUUGAAAAUAGAGACUUUACAGGACUUUCUUUCAGCAGGUUUUGCAAGGGUGGAUUUAUUGCCUCUUACUUGAUGUCAGACAUGAUGUUUGUAUACUGUAGUCUCUGAUUGUUUCGUAAUUGUCUGAUAAAUCUGUCCUCCUCGUCUCCUUCCCUGAAUCUGCAGUGAUUAGAAGUAUAUGCUAAUGUAUUCUUUUGACAAAUUUGUGCAUUUGUUUGAAAAGUAAAUUUUGAUGUACAUUUUCAGAGAAAUAUACAGAUUUCCUCCCUGAGAAAAUAAUUCUCUAAUACAUAUUAUCAUUCUUGCAAUUUAACAACAGGCUCCUUAGCUUGAAUUCCACUACCAAGACUCCAUGUCACAUUCCAAAGAUGGAGAUUGGUGUAUUACUUAAGGAGACUGGUGCAUAAGAGACAGAGCCUACUACUGAGGCCAAACAGCCAGGAAUACAUUGUUCCUCAAAGUGGUGACUAUAACUGUGAGAAAACUGAAUAGAAAAGCAAUUCACAAACUCUAAUAGUUGUAUUCUGUUUACAUAACUCCAGACUCUCCUGUGGAAUAGUCAGUGGAACAGUUUUAUUGGCUGAUGGUCUUGUGUGUUAUUGCCUGUCCCCAGGUUCCAUUAACAGGAAACGAGGAAGGGAUAUAUACAAUGCUUUUUCAUUUUCGAUUUUUCCAAAAUGCUGCCUUAGACUGUAUAUUGUUUUACAUUGUAAUUGUAAGAACAUUCAUUCAGGACAUUAUUUAUAAAGGUUUAUUUAAUCAGACGUUUUAUAGAUAGGUUUACAAUAGUUUUUAAAGAAACUACAUGCAAAUCAUGUAUAGCCUCUGGAAUUUGUAAAUAUUGUUCUGAAAUAUAUACAAAUAAAACUUAAAAUCUUAAAUGUAAUUGAGUGUUGCAUGUUGGUUUGAUACGUGUUUUAUCUAUUUACAGUGCCUCUGAAAAAACAUUCAGACUCCAUCAAUUUCUUUAAAUGUUGUUGUGUUAUACUGUAGAGCUAAUUUAUAAUUGAACAUUUUAAUUUGGUACAUAAGCAUUCAGAACCUUUAUUCAGGACUUUGUAAAUGUAUCUUUAUCAGCGAUCACAGUUUAGGGCAGAGGUGUCAAACCAGUUCCACAGAGGGCCAAGUGUCUGCAGAUCUUUGCUCUCACCUUGUGCUUGAUUGGUUAAUUAGGACACUAUUUGGUCUCAGUUGGGCACCAAUUGAAAGGAAAAACUAAAAACCAGCAUAUACCCGGCACCCUGUUGAACCGGUUUGACCCCUCUGAUUUAGAAUGUUCUUGGUUUGCUUCUACCAGCUUUGGUCAGUUUUUUCAAUUCGUCCUUGUAGAUCCUCUCAACCUCUGUCAGAUUGGAUGGGAAGUGUUGGUUAACUACAUUCUUCAAGUCUCUCCACAGUUGUUCAAUUGGGUUCAUGCCUGGGUUUUGGCUGGGCCACUCAAAAAAAUACACAGACGUCCUGAAGCCCCUCAAGCAUUGUCUUGGCCUGGUGCUUUGGGUCAUUGUCGUGUAUAUAGGUGAAUCUUUGCCCCAUUCUAAUGUGCUGUGUGCAUUACUAUGGCAUGAUGCUCCCACCGACAUGCUUCACCACAGGGAUGGAAUUACGUAGAUGGUGAGCUGUACCUUGUUUUCACCAGACGUAGCACUUGGCUAUCCGGCAUCUUUUUCCUCAUGCUCUCAUGUGACGUCACGUCCCAGUUACUCAGGAGGGGCUUCCUUCUAGGCAACUCUUCAGAAAGCCCUUUUUGCACGGCUACUUAGUCUUGUUAAUUAGAGUAUUGGUGUUUCCAAACUUCAAUUCAAUUUCCCAAUGAUGCAGCCCACUGUUCUCUUGGGAACUGUCAAUACUUGACAUGCUGCUGGGGAUUGUUGCUGGAAGUAGCCACUGUAAGUAUUUGGUAGAACACCAAAUAUUGGCACUUAUUGUCCAUGUAGCCAUAAAGGGUCCUUAGCCAGGUUAAUAUUCUAGAUCAUAUACUUUGUCAUGUGGUGUUAAAAAUGGCUUCCAACCAAUUCCUCAUAAGAUUCAGCCAGUAUGUAUUGGCUUGGGUCAUGCUCCUGCAGCCAGUUACAUUCAAGGGACUGAUGUUGUUUCUGAAAAUUAUUAAAAACUUUCAUUAAUGUCUGCCUUUCCCUGACUUUCUCUUUGUCUGAGUCAGUAGUUACAGAUGAGGCUGGAAGGAAAUUAUCUCUCAUCCAGUAAGCGUUAAAUCCAACUGAUUGGGUUGCAUACCUCCAUGGCAGCCACACACAUUUCUGUGAGUUAUUUUGGAAAAUCCCGAACUGAUCCACCUCGGCUUUUAUGCCACAAAGUGGCAGAACAUAAUGUAGAUGACUAACCAUCUCUCCAACAACAACAUAAUACUAGUGUAUACAUACUAGGACCUUAAUAAGGCACGUGAUAUUAGCACUGUGGUAGUACUGCAAGUUAAUAACUGUAUAGCAUCUUUCAUAUUUCAAGUUAUACAUUGAUUGUUCAUUUAUACCUAGUCACAACAGAUAUUAAUUAAGGGCUGGUAAAUUUGCGAUCUAACCACCUAUCAUAGAUGAAUGUCCUGUAUGGCCAGUCAGAUGUGAAUCCUUCAACCAUUCAUCCUUUAAGUUUUCAUUUUGGGAUGAAGGCCAUUAUCUACUUCCUGGGUAAGCUUUUAUGUCUGCAAAAGUAUAGAGGUAAUUUAGUGAGAAAAAUCUCAACUAGCUUAGAAAAAUGCUGGAAAUCUACAGGAUAUCAAAUGAUAUCCAGGAGUUCAUCUGACUAUGGAGAACUACAUAAAGGGCCAAAAUCCUGACACAUUAUCUUCUAUCUCGACAGCUUAGAAUAGUGACCCAGUGUUCGGUCAACGUGUCCUGGCCCCCACACAUUAGACUGGCAGCCACAGGUUGAGUUUUACCAAGAAGCACACUAUUCCCUAAAUAGUGGACUACUUUAGUGCACUACAUAGGGAAUAUGGUGUAAUUUGGCACACAGAGGACCUAUACAAACACUGUUAGAGUCCACCCUGAGAUUGGAAGGUUGGGACUUCAAUCCCCCGCUGAGUCAGAUGACUAAAAAUGAGACCCGAUGUGUUCCUGAUUGGUAUUCAGUGAAAUAGAGAUAGAUCGGGGGUAAGGCCCUG